ensembl:lncRNA
CCGCGUCGACGCCGGCGUCGGACCUCCCGCCCGCGCCUGGUCCGGGAGGUGGGGAAGGAGACUGUGUGAGGUGCGUGGGUUCUAGGUCCUGCUCCCGGCCAGGUGCUGACGGUUGGCCCAGGCGAUGGCCGUGUCAAAACAUUAUAGUGACAUCCCUGACAUAUCCAUUCCCCCUGAGGUCGACUGUGCGAGAGGCUGAUCUCACAUCAUACACAGGAGAAGCCACAGCAGAAAAGAGCAAUGUGGUUUACAGAACUUAGAAAGGAAGAUACCAAGAAGUAGUGAAAUCAUAGUAUGUUUCGUUACUGAUAUUCUUCUAAGGUGAUUGGACAGAACAUGCCAGGGAAAGAUCCUGACUUUGACAGCUAUUGUAGGGGAACACUGGCAUAACUUUCUGACGUGUGAGCCUUGUUGUUGGCUGCUUCUACCUGGCAUGGAAAUUUGACAUAAAAAUAAUUAAAGAAAGUUUAGGCAAAAUUAUUGCUUAAAGGACCUCAUUAACCUAAAGGUUUACAAUGCUAUCCAGUUCUAUGUCAUUUGGUAGAUGUUCAGUCAAAGAUAAAUCAUUCAUACAGAGGUAACUUAGUAUCUAUUGAGAUGAGUCUAAAACGAUGGAGUGAUAUUCAUAUUUGCAGUUGGUUGUAAAGAUAAUUCUGUUAUUCAAAUAUUACAAUAUCUUGACAUCUUCCUCUAAGAAAUGAAAUUGUGCAGGAUAUAAAAAGAAAACAAGUAAAUAUUAAUUUAACAAUAUUAAAGAAAAUAACAAGAAAACAUUUUAGUACUCACCCACACAUCUUUCAGAACAGCCAUAAUUACAUGAAUUAUCUCUUAGUUUGUAUAUACAUGCUCAGUUUGAGGGAAAAGGAAAAGAUGUGAACAAGCUUUAGCAAUAUAUAUUAUCAACUUCUUGUACAAAUGAGAAUUUUGCAUGUAGAUUUUAGAAGUAAAAUAUUUAUUUUUAUUUAAAGAAGUUGCCCAAAUGCAUUUAAAUUUCUUUUCUGUAAUAGAAGCUGACAAAUUAACAUAAACUUUACCUCCAUGAUUUUGUCAUCUUUGAAAUGGUCCCUCCAAGUAUUAAGCUUCUCAGAGAUUCAACAGGGUUAAAUAAGCUUGGUUGUUUGCAGCUAUCCCUCUCAAAAUGUAUUUACAUUAAACCCUUUUUUACUUAUCAAAUUACUUAAUGAUUCUACUCCUUUGUAUAAUUCAAAAAAUCAUUGAAAUCUUUGUCUGCUUUUACCUCCUCUCCUGUAAACUCUUGUACUUUCUAUAUUCCUGUACCAUAAUUUUAGUGGGAUGGUAGGGGAAAAGUGGUUAAUGCCUAUGCAUAAGCCACCUGUUUCUUAACCCUUAUUUUGUUAUUAAAAUACUUAACUGUGCACCUCUUAGAUAUGUACUAAAUGCAUAACUCUCUCACAUUUCUGAAAAUUCUUCCUCUCAUGUUCAUGUCUGUUGUCACAGUUCCACCCUACAUUAAUCCUGUUUCUGAAACAGAGAAAAAAAUAUCCAGAAUUAAAUAUUCUUUGCUUUACAUUUUUCACUAAUCAGUGUUUAUUGCAAAUCCUAUAAAGCCGUAGCUGGUACGCAACUUGUCUCCCAAUGGAAACAAUGUUUUCACUCAUUGGAAUGAUGGGAAUUCCAGGAUUAUGUUUUCUGAGUGAAUGAGGUGAGCCCUACAAUUGCUCUGCCUUUUCUAUCUGAAGAGAAGCAAGUCCUGGAUUACAGGGCAAGAAAAGAGAAACAAAGCAGAACAUGAGAAUCUUGAGUUGAAGAGACACAGAUUAGAGUUUGAGGAGACUGAUCCUGAUGGAAUUUGCAGGAUAGAUUAUCAGAAAGAAGGGAACAUGGAGAAAAAUACAUAUAAUGAUCCUCUUUUUUCUUGGCUGAAUAUUAAUCUGCAUAUGCAUAAGGUGAAACUCCACAAACCCAAGCAAAACCAAUUGGAAGCAAAUUACAAGAAUACUAAUUCCUCUGGGGCCAGCCCCAUGGCCAAGUUGUUAAGUUUGUGUGCUCUGCUUCUGCAGCCCAGGGUUCGCUGGUUCGGAUCCUGGGCACAGACAUGGCGUUGCUCAUCAGGCCAUGCUGAGGCAGUGUCCCACAUAGCACAACCAGAGGCACUCACAACUAGAAUGUACAACUAUGCGCUGGGGGUGCUUUGGGGAGAAGAAGAAGAAAAUAAAAGAAUACUAAUUCCCAGGCCACACUCAGGGAUGGAAGACAUUCACAUUUUGUCCAGAAAGAGUAAAGAAACAUGUUGAAUAGUUGGAUGAUCAGUAGAAAUCUUUGAAGGAUUACAACUGAGUAGUAGGGCUAUAUUAGCCCUUAAGGAAAACCUGCUCUGGAACUGCCCUAAAAUUUUUUUUAAAAAGUCUCCCCAUAUAACUUAACUUCUUCCCAAAGUAAGCUUCAAUACUUUUUAGAGGAAGUCAAUGAAAGAUAAACACUCAACGGUAUGGCAUGUGCAAUAUCUAGGAUUUAACAAAACAAUCACUUGCCAUGCAAAGAAGUAGAAUUGUGAACCACAUAAGCAAAGCCUUAAAUCUUCAAGAUUUUAAAGAAAAGUAUAAUGCAAAAGAGAUAUGGAAGGUAUAGAAAUAAGAAACUGAUGGACCCUCUAGUGAUAAAAAAUAUAAUAUGUAAAUUAAAAUACUCACUGGGUGAAGUUAGUGGCUAAUUAGGCACUGAAGGUCAAAUUAGCAGUAAACUCAAAAGAAAUAACAAUUGAGAAUACCUGUGUUAGUCAGUUGGAGCUUCCAUAACAAAAUACUAUAGACUGGGUGACUUGAACAACAGAAAUUUAUUUUCCCACAGGAAAUAAAUUUAUUUUCCUUCUGGAGGCUAGAAGUCUGAGAUUAGAGUGCAUGUAUCAUGGUCAGGUUCUAGUGAGAGCUCUCUUCCCGCUUUGUAGACAGUCACCUUGUCUCUCUGUCCUCACCUGACCUUUCCUCUGUGCUCACAUGGAGAGAGAGAGUGAAUGAACUCUCUGAUGUCUCUUCUUAUAAGGGUAUUAAUCCUAUUUUAUCAGAGCCUCAAUAUUAUGAUCUCAUUUAACUUUAAUUACCUGCUUAUUGGCCCUAUCUCAAAAUGUAGUCACAUUGGAGGUUAGGGUUUCAACAGAUGAAUUUUGGAGAGACACAGUUCAGUCCACAGCAAUACUUAAACUAAAGCACAAAGAUAAAGAAAUAUGAAAAGGUGUAAAGAUAAUUGAACAAAGCUUUAGUGACCUGUAGGACAGUAGUAAGUUUCUAAAACAACUGGAUAUUCAUUUGGAUAAAAAAAAAAGCAUCUACAUCCUUACCUUCCACCAAAGUCAGAAAUUAAAUUAAAAUGGAUUAUAGAUAUAAACAUAUAAGUUAAAAAUAUAAAACAAAUAGAAGAAAAUCUUUGAUACAUUAGAAUAGGCAAAAAUUUCUUGGGACACAAAACGUAUAAAAUAUGAGAAAAAUUCCUAAAUUGAACUUGAUUAAAUUUAAAAUUUUCUGCUCUUUGAAAGACAGCAUUCACCAGUAAGUACACACAGAAAGACAAACCACAAACUGGGAGAAAAUAUUAGCAAUAGAUAUAUCUGAUAAGUGACUUUUAUCCACAAUUUAUAAAGAAAAAAUUCAAUUAAGAAAAUGAGCAAAUGAGAGUAAUGCACUGCUCUUGGUUUUGUAAAAUGGUACAACCACUUUAGAAAACAGAUUCCACUUUGGAAAACUUUUGGACACUUUUGAAAAACAUCCCAGAAAUCCUAUCCCUAGGUAUUUAUCCAAAAGAAAUGAAAAUGUAUGUUGACAAAAAUACUUGCACAAGAAUGUCCAUAGCAGAUUUCUUCAUAAUAGCUUAAAAUUCGAUACAACUCAAAUGUUCAACAGCAGGUGAAUAAAUUAAAAAAUUAUGAUAAAUUCAUAUAAUGGAACAUUAUUCAACAUUAUAAAGGAACAAACUAUUGUUACAUAUAAUAUGAAGGAAUCUCAAUAAACCUCAGACUGAGCAAAAUAAGCCAGAAAGAAAUAAUACACAAUGUAUAAUUCCAUUUAUAUAUAAUUCUACAUCAGGCGACAUUAACCUUUAGUGACAGAAAAUGUAUAAGUGGUUGUCUUGACUUGGGGAAGGAGGUGACUGAGAUGAUACACGAAAGAGCUUUUUGGGGUGAUGAAAAUUUUUUGUGUUGCAUUGUGGUGGUUACAUGCCUUGUAUACAUUGGUCACAUCUCAUAGAACUGUACUCUUUGCUUGGUGCAUUUUAUUAUAUAUAAAUUAUAUCAAAAUAAGUUUAAUUAAAAAUUUAAAGGACCAGCCCAAUGGCGUAAUGGUUAAGUUCACGCACUCUGCUUAGGCAGUCUGGCAUUCACAGGUUCGGAUCCCGUUGCAAACCUAGCACCACUCAUCAACCGAUUCUAUAGUGGCAUCUCACAUGAAAUAGAGGAAGAUUGGCACAGAUAUUAGCUCAGCAACAAUCUUCCUCAAGCAAAAAAAAAAAAGAUUGGCAACAGAUGUUAGCUGAGGGCCAAUUUUCCUCUCAUACACACACACACACACACAAACUAAAAUGUAUGUAUCAACUUCUAGGAAGAUUUCUGAGGCCACCAGCUUUCAACUUAUCAAAACAAAUUAAUACAAUUGUAGGGGAAGUUGUCCAAUUAAAGUUUCCUGUGUGUAAAUAAAAUACAUAGGUUCAAGAAGCAGAGCUGGGUUGCCCAAUUUGGUAGCCACUAGCCACAAGUGGCUAUCAAACCUUGAAAUGUAGCUAUUCUAUAUUGACAUGUGUUUUAAGUACGAAGAGACACACCAGAUUUCUAAGAUGAGGUGUGAAAAAACAGUUGUAAAUAUCUCAUUAAUAACACUUUAUAUUGAUUGCACAUUGAAAUGAUAAUAUUUUGGAUAUAGUAAGUAAAUUAAAAUAUAUCAUUCCAUCAAAUACAUAUUCAGUAUAUUAUGUUCAACAUAUCAUGCAUAUUAAAUAUAUUAUUUCAUCUAUUUCCUUUGGAUUGUAUUUGGAUUAUCAUGUGGAUUGAAUUUGUUUUUUAAAGAUUGGCACCUGUGCUAACAUCUGUUGCCAAUCUUUCUUUUUUCUUUUCCUUUUUUUCUUUACUUCUUCUCCCUAAAGUCCCCCAGUACAUAGUUGUAUAUUCUAGUUGUAGGUCCUUCUGGUUGUGCUGCCUCAGCAUGGCUUGAAGAGUAGUGCCAUGUCUGCACCCAGGAUCUGAACCAGCAAAACUCUGGGCCUCUGAAGUAGAGCUUGCAAACUUAACCACUCGGUCGCAGGGCCUGCCCCUGGAUUGUAGUUUUAACUGGGCAACUAGUUAUACAUUUAGGAAAAGGUAAAUAAUCCCACUAAGAACAUAGAUGUGCUAUGCCCAAAUAUGCAGUGCAACAUUGAAAUAGUUAUAGAAAUUAUAUUCUAAGGUAAUAUUUCUAAAGUGUUUGGUAAUGAUCAAGGUAUCAGAGAUUUUGCCUAAAAUAUAGUUUUUAGAAAAUGUGUUUGGGAAGUGUUUAGUUAAACAACACUUAAAGGGUUUCUAAAAAACAUGCCUUUUAAGGGUUUCAUCAAGCUAAUAUGUGCUGUGAAUCUUCAGAGAAAGGUCCUUAAUAUAUUCUUUUUUUUCCUUGACGCAAGUCAAGAGAGUCCUACUCAAGAUUUUCUGCAAUAAACUAUGAUUCCUCUAUAACAAAAUAUAUAUCUGAGUUAUUUUAGAAUAGGUGUCUCAUACAUGUAUGCUGGAAUUCAAAUUCAGAAGGUGUAGAACUACUUCUGUAAUGAUUUGGAUGAAUACUAACCAUUGACUUGAUUGAAAUGCUAUGCUUUUCUUUUCAGCUUAGGUUAUUCUCCAAAUGUCAAAAUAGCUUUGUAAGAAAUAAGAAGAAUGGAGAAUGACUUCAAUUUUAUUGUGUGUUUUCUGAUCCCAGAUGUUCACUUCUAACCAAAAGUACUUUUUAAUUUCUAAAAGAGAUUAAAUAUCAUCACUGAAUGAGAAUUUUAAAUAUCAUUUUUACAUUUAAUCAAAUUAUAAAAUGUGCAAGGAAAUUAACUUUUUCUAAAUAAUAUUUCCAUUUAUGUCAUAUAUUUCUACAAACUAUCAAUGAGAAAUGAAUUUCUAAAGGACUUUGCUAUUAAAAUAUACCCUUAGAAUAUGGUUUGAAAAUGUUUUUGCCAUAUUAAUACAGUACAAGUAAAAUUGCACUUACUGAACAAUGUAAGUAGAAUUAUAAGUAAUAAAAAUGUAAAUAACACAAAUAUUUUAUGACAAUAACCAUCAUGUUUAACACACAUGCAACUAGAAUUGCUUAUAUAUAAAAAUUCAAAUGGAAGUGUCACAAUUUCAAUAUACAUAAUAAUGCACAAUCUGUAGAGAUCAAAGAAAUAGUAUAACAGUUGCUAAUGUUAGUAUGAACUGUUUUUAUUCUAAACAGGCAUUCAACAGAUUAAUUCAUAAAAUCUCAUAGGCCUCCUCCUAUCUGAGUAUUUGUGAAAACACAGCAACCCAAAAAUAUCUAUAAUGGGAAUGAUUCUGAGAGUAAAUUGCUGAUAUUUUUACUAUGACACUAAGAUAUUAAAAUCUUUGCAGCUCCUUUAUAUUUGUCAGAUUUUCUAAAUCUUUCUGUAGAAAUAUUUUGGAAUCUUUAUAUUUUGAAAGAAUGAGUAGAAAGGCAGGCCAGAUUCUAAGGCCAGGCUAACUAGAUUGGAAUCCCAGGUAUACAACUUACUAGCUCUAUAAGUUUAAGAAAUUGUCUCAGACUUUCUGUGCCUCAGUUUCUUCAUCUGUAAAACAAGGAUGAUAAUAGUAAAUUUCUUGGGGAAUUGUUGAAGAAUUAAAUAACAAAAAAAAUUAGAAAGUACUUGACACGUUGCCUGUUCUUUAAUUAUUUGAAGAUAUUAGGGAUUAUUAUUUUACAAUUAUUAAAGGCAAUCUAAUGAAAUUAAUUAUCAACAUCAUUAUUAAAUUGUCUCCUAUACUUUGUGGUGUGAGUAGAAUUCCUGACACUCCAAAAUGUGGAAUAUAAUAUAAUGGUAGGUGUUUUAAAGCUACCAUUUAAGCUUUGGUGCAGUUUCUUACACAGCAACAAAUAAUUAAAACAAAUUUUCUUUUGUUUUGUCUUGUUUCAGUAGCCUCAGGGACUCAGGUAGGAGGAUUCAGAAAUAUAUUAGACAAACUGAAGAAUAAAUUAAGGCAAGAAUCUAUAAUAUAAGAGAAGAUGAUCCCAAUAGGACCACAUGCUGUGAAAGAUAGUAAGAGUCAAUAUAAUAAAAAAAAUUAUCUUGAGACAGCUUUAAAAUUCUAGUACCUUAGGAACAUCACUAUAUAUAGCAAUGAGAAAAUUUUAUUUCUGUUUUAUUUAUCUCUAAAUAAGUAUCAUUUUUUAAUACUGUACAUUAUCUCAUAAGAAUGUAUGGUGUUCAGGUAAUCUUUACAAAAUUUAAAUUACAUGAGACAGAAAAUGAAACUAUGAACAAAUGAGGUACAGUCUAAAUAUGAUCUAUAUAAAAGUGAAGAUGUCCCACACACUCAAUAAUAUAUAUUUCUUAAAAAUCCUAUUUUUUGGUCAUGAAAUAAUCAUAGAGAUAAAUCAUAUCUUGAAAGAAAGAUAAAUGUACAUUUUUAA